GUAAGCUGUUCCGUAGGUGAACCUGCGGAA
rnacentral:rRNA from 1 species